rnacentral:rRNA from 1 species
UACGGAGGGUGCGAGCGUUGUCCGGAAUCACUGGGCGUAAAGGGCGCGUAGGCGGUCUGCUAAGCGUGCGGUGAAAGCCUGGGGCUCAACCCCAGGUCUGCCGUGCGAACUGGUGGACUAGAGCACUGUAGAGGCAGGUGGAAUUCCGGGUGUAGCGGUGGAAUGCGUAGAGAUCCGGAAGAACACCGGUGGCGAAGGCGGCCUGCUGGGCAGUUUAGCUGACACUGAGGCGCGACAGCGUGGGGAGCAAACAGG